rnacentral:rRNA from 1 species
AGGACGAACGCUGGCGGCGUGCUUAACACAUGCAAGUCGAGCGAGAGCCAGUUGAGGGGUAACCCUCGGCUGGGGACAGCGGCGAACGGGUGCGUAACACGUGGGCAACCUGCCCCUGACACUGGGAUAACCCCGGGAAACCGGAGCUAAUACCGGAUACUCUCGGCCGAUCACAUGGCUGGCCGAGGAAAGGUCCGCCGGUCAGGGAUGGGCCCGCGGCCUAUCAGCUUGUUGGCGAGGUAACGGCUCACCAAGGCGACGACGGGUAGCUGGUCUGAGAGGACGACCAGCCACACUGGAACUGAGAUACGGUCCAGACUCCUACGGGAGGCAGCAGUGGGGAAUAGUUGCACAAUGGGACGAAAGCCUGACUGCAGCGACGCCGCGUGAGGGAUGGAAGGCCUUAGGGUCUAAACCGUCGUUUCGGCAGGGACGAAGCGAUCGAGUCGACGUACUGACAGAAGAACGCCCCGGAUAACCGUACGU